rnacentral:rRNA from 1 species
AUUGAACGCUGGCGGCAGGCCUAACACAUGCAAGUCGAACGAGUGGCGGACGGGUGAGUAAUGUCUGGGAAACUGCCUGAUGGAGGGGGAUAACUACUGGAAACGGUAGCUAAUACCGCAUACCAUCGGAUGUGCCCAGCUGGGAGUAGCUAGGAGGUGGGGUAAAGGCUCACCUAGGCGACUAUCCCUAUCGGGUCUGAGAGGAUGAACAGCAAGACUGGAACUGCGACACGGUCCAGACUCCUACGGGAGGCAGCAGUGGGGAAUAUUGCACAAUGGGCGCAAGCCUGAUGCAGCCAUGCCGCGUGUAUGAAGAAGGCCUUCGGGUUGUAAAGUACUGUCAGCGGGGAGGCGUUACCCGCAGAAGAAGCACCGGCUAACUCCGUGCCAGCAGCCGCGGUAAUUC